AUAUGGUCAAGCUAUUAAGGGCACACGGUGGAUGCCUUGGUGGCAGGAGACGAUGAAAGGCGUGGUAAGCUGCGUUAAGCCUCGGGGAGUUGCUAAACAAACCUUGAUCCGGGGAUGCCUGAAUGGGGAAACCCAGCCUGAGUCAUGUCAGGCUAUCCUGUACUGAAUACAUAGGUGCAGGAAGUGAACGUGGGGAACUGAAACAUCUAAGUACCCACAGGAGUAGAAAUCAACCGAGAUUCCGCUAGUAGUGGCGAGCGAACGCGGAACAGCCUAAACCGGAUAUAUGCCAAGUCUGCAAAUUUUGUAUAUUCGGGGUCGUGGGAUGCUUCAUGAUUUCAUUGCAGUGGGGUCGGGAAGUUACAAAACUGUUAUAUAGCAGAAAGGUUCUGGAAAGGCCUGCCAAAGACGGUGAUAGCCCGGUAUGUGAAAUGUAACAGUCUUCCUCGAAGUAUUCCCAAGUACCACGGGGCACGUGAAACCUUGUGGGAAUCUGGGAGGACCAUCUUCCAAGGCUAAAUACUACCUGCCGACCGAUAGUGAACUAGUACCGUGAGGGAAAGGUGAAAAGUACCCCGAUGAGGGGAGUGAAAUAGUACCUGAAACCGUGUGCCUACAAGCAGUGGGAGCCCUAUGGCGGAUUUAUCCGCAACGGGUGACCGCGUGCCUUUUGCAUAAUGAGUCAGCGACUUACUUUAUGUAGCAAGGUUAAGCCGUUAGGUGGAGCCGUAGCGAAAGCGAGUCUUAAUAGGGCGAUUUAGUUGCAUGGAGUAGACCCGAAGCCAGGUGAUCUAGCCAUGGCCAGGGUGAAACUGGGGUAAGACCCAGUGGAGGCCCGAACCGUUGAAGGUUGAAAACUUCUCGGAUGAGCUGUGGCUAGGGGUGAAAGGCCAAUCAAACCUGGAGAUAGCUGGUUCUCCUCGAAAUAUAUUUAGGUAUAGCCUCGUAAGAUGAGUGACGGAGGUAGAGCUCUGGAUGGGCUAGGGGUCCUACCAGAUUACCAAACCCAACUAAACUUCGAAUGCCGUUAUCUUUAUUACGGGAGUCAGUCUAUGGGUGAUAAGGUCCGUAGGCGAAAGGGAAACAGCCCAGACCGCCAGCUAAGGUCCCUAAAUAUGUGCUAAGUGGGAAAGGAUGUGGAAAUGCAGAAACAGCCAGGAGGUUGGCUUAGAAGCAGCCACCCUUUAAAGAAAGCGUAACAGCUCACUGGUCUAGUGGGUCCGCGCCGAAGAUAUACCGGGGCUAAAGCACAUUACCGAAGCUGCGGAUUUCGCAUUUAUGCGGAGUGGUAGGGGAGCGUUCCAGUUGCCUGUGAAGCCAUACCGAGAGGAGUGGUGGAGGUCCUGGAAGUGAUUAUGCUGACAUGAGUAACGAUAACGCCGGUGAAAAACCGGCGCGCCGAAAAUCUAAGGUUUCCUGAGUAAAGCUAAUCUGCUCAGGGUUAGUCGGCCCCUAAGCCGAGGCCGAAAGGCGUAGGCGAUGGGAAACAGGUUAAUAUUCCUGUACCGGCUGAACAGCGUUUGAGUGAUGGGGGGACGCAGAAGGGUAGGUCAUCCAUCUGUUGGAUUAGGUGGUUUAAGCCCGUAGGUGGGCUUCGUAGGCAAAUCCGCGAGGCCAACACUGAGAGGUGAUGACGAGUCCUUUAGGACAUAAAGUGAUUGAUCCCAUGCUGACAAGAAAAACCUCUAAACGAGUUGUUUAGCUGACCGUACCGCAAACCGACACAGGUAGAUGAGGAGAGAAUCCUAAGGCGCUUGAGUAAACCCUGGUUAAGGAACUCGGCAAAUUGACACCGUAACUUUGGAAGAAGGUGUGCCCCUGGUACGUGAAAGGACUUGCUCCUGGAGCGGAAAGGGGUUGCAGAGAGCGGGUGGUAGCGACUGUUUACUAAAAACACAGGACUCUGCUAAGUCGCAAGACGAUGUAUAGGGUCUGACGCCUGCCCGGUGCCGGAAGGUUAAGAGGAGGUGUUAGCUUUCGAGCGAAGCUCCGAAUCGAAGCCCCGGUAAACGGCGGCCGUAACUAUAACGGUCCUAAGGUAGCGAAAUUCCUUGUCGGGUAAGUUCCGACCUGCACGAAUGGCGUAACGACUUCCACGCUGUCUCAACCAGAGACUCAGUGAAAUUGCAGUAGCGGUGAAGAUACCGUUUACCCGCGGAAAGACGGAAAGACCCCGUGCACCUUUACU
rnacentral:rRNA from 1 species